rnacentral:rRNA from 1 species
UGGGGAAUAUUGGACAAUGGGCGAAAGCCUGAUCCAGCAAUGCCGCGUGAGUGAUGAAGGCCUUAGGGUUGUAAAGCUCUUUUACCAGGGAAGAUGAUGACUGUACCUGGAGAAUAAGCCCCGGCUAACUCCGUGCCAGCAGCCGCGGUAAGACGGAGGGGGCUAGCGUUGUUCGGAAUUACUGGGCGUAAAGCGCACGUAGGCGGUUUUUCAAGUCAGGUGUGAAAGCCCCGGGCUCAACCCGGGAAUAGCACUUGAUACUGUUGAACUUGAGACCGGGAGAGGAUAGCGGAAUUCCCAGUGUAGAGGUGAAAUUCGUAGAUAUUGGGAAGAACACCAGUGGCGAAGGCGGCUAUCUGGACCGGUACUGACGCUGAGGUGCGAAAGCGUGGGGAGCAAACAGG